rnacentral:rRNA from 1 species
AGUGAACGCUGGCGGUAGGCCUAACACAUGCAAGUCGAACGGCAGCACAGUAAGAGCUUGCUCUUACGGGUGGCGAGUGGCGGACGGGUGAGGAAUACAUCGGAAUCUACUUUUUCGUGGGGGAUAACGUAGGGAAACUUACGCUAAUACCGCAUACGACCUACGGGUGAAAGCAGGGGAUCUUCGGACCUUGCGCGAUUGAAUGAGCCGAUGUCGGAUUAGCUAGUUGGCGGGGUAAAGGCCCACCAAGGCGACGAUCCGUAGCUGGUCUGAGAGGGUGAUCAGCCACACUGGAACUGAGACACGGUCCAGACUCCUACGGGAGGCAGCAGUGGGGAAUAUUGGACAAUGGGCGCAAGCCUGAUCCAGCCAUACCGCGUGGGUGAAGAAGGCCUUCAGGUUGUAAAGCCCUUUUGUUGGGAAAGAAAAGCAGCAGGUUAAUACCCCGCUGUUCUGACGGUACCCAAAGAAUAAGCACCGGCUAACUUCGUG